GCUGGGCGUGGUGGCUCAUGCCUGUAAUCCCAGCAGCUCAGGAGGCUGCGGCAGGAGGAUCGUGGGUUCAAACCUCUUGCUUUUAGAAGAUUAAAAGGGAGGCACUGAGCAACUCAGUGAGACCCUGUCUCUA
rnacentral:sRNA from 1 species